GCUUGGGUGGCUCAGUCGGUUGAGCGUCUGACUUCGGCUCAGGUCAUGAUCUCAUGGUCUGUGAGUUCGAGCCCCGCGUCGGGCU
rnacentral:tRNA from 1 species